GGUCGUUUUUCUUCUAGCACUGACUUGAAUGACUGGUUGAAUGACCAAAUCCAAGCUUCUCUGCUAGUUCCUCAACAGUUAUGAAUGGAAUUUUGUUCCACCAGGGAUUGCAGGACAUCCUCUUUGAGCUCAACAGAUCUUCCAGUAUAAGGGCCACUUUCCAGAGAU